GACCUAUUAACUCAGUUGGUUAGAGCGUCGCGUUAAUAACGCGAAGGUCGCAGGUUAGAAACCUGUAUGGGCCA